GUCAGGUCGCGGUCACGCCAGGAAGACGGUAUGGCCAAGGCAGUCAGGGGACCCGGCGGUCGCGGUCGCAGCCACCCUGGCAGCGCGCUCUCAAGGGCACAGGCUCCGCACGCUCAGACUCGUCUUCCUUUCCGAAAGGCCCAUUGAAUUCUGGGGGUUGUGGUUCUGCUCCAUCAAAAAGCGCUUCUUGGUACCCCAUACUUGGAAAACCGGAAAAUUUUUAGCCAAUCCCCAGUUACGGUACUGUGACGUAAACUGUAGCUAGGGAGAGUAGUGUCUCGGACUCCUCCAGACACGGACCGUGCGCCCCCUAGUGCUUGGAGCGGCCCUUUACUGGGUGAUCCGUACCGGACCUGCACUAUGGGGCCACAGCACGAGGAGGGACUCGCUAGUGUUUCUGCUUUGUGCGCAGCCUCCUUGUAUGCAGGCUGCGUUGCAGAGCCCCUAAGAAGCGCUGGGGGAAGACUGGGUGACAGCUUGGAUGGAGGAGGGGAAUAGGACGCGCAAGCGGGGGCGACGGGAAAAAGGAGGGGGUAUAGUUGGAUGCCAGUGCUGAUUGAUGCCCGAGAGUGGCUGCUGUUAUCUAAGAACUCUUUCUUUCACAUUGAGUAAAACAUGCAUGCAGUGAUACAUGACCCCGCACCCUGCCACAUGCACCGGCGCAAAAACCUCGCCAACUCUUCCAGUUUCUGGAAAAACCACACUUUAUUGGGUGGACAAGUGGCCUGACAGAAGGCCUCAGAUUCACAGUUGACUGACUGAUCAGAGUACAGGUGAUGGAAUCUGUGUCUGCAUCCUACCCCAGCCUCCUGGGAGGCAGCUCUAAAUUCAGUCAAUGCGUGGGAGGGUUCCGGCCCAGCACGAAGGAUGAAAGGGCUCCCCCUCUUCACCUUACCCGACCUUCAUUGGUAAGACCGAAUCCUUAAGGGCUAGGCGCAGAGAAGCGCUUGGCAUUUUACUGUGUUAGUUUAACAUAAAGCUGGAGAGCCACAGUGUGCCAGUUAUUGCCACACACGAAAUAGAGACCCCUGCUGGAGGAAGAAGCCUCUCGACUCUCAGGGGCUAUUUAUAGCUAGGGCUCCAGGCUGCUGAUCUGUGACAUUCUCCGGCUGC